GCGGCGCGAGACCCCUCGCCUCGGCGUCCUCCCGCCAACGGCCGCGCCGCGCGCAGGCUCCCCUCAGGCGCGAGCCCCCCUCGGGCGCGAGCGCCCCCCCUCCCCAGCCCUCAGGUGCGAUAUCCCCCCAUCCCGCCCCGCCCCGCCCCGUCCCGUGCCGGCCCCGCACGCACCUGCCAGCACGGCCAGCGCGGCGAUCAGCGCCACAGCGCGCAUCGUCGGUCCCGUGAAGGGCGGCGACGGAGGCAGAGAGGGAAGGGGAAGGAAUACCGCGACAGAUGCUCCCAGCGUCUUUGCCAGGUCGUGCCAAUCCCAAGAAGUGAUGCCCAAGAGGUCUGGAAAAGAAGAUGCUGAAUCAGUCACUCGGAUGUUAACCUGGGACACACAGCCCCGGCAAACCUCCGGCAGUCCCUUUGUGCACAGAGCAAUUAAAACUGACUGGCAAUAUCCAA